rnacentral:rRNA from 1 species
CAGCAGUCGCCGCGGUAAUACGAAGGGGGCUAGCGUUGCUCGGAAUCACUGGGCGUAAAGGGUGCGUAGGCGGGUCUUUAAGUCAGGGGUGAAAUCCUGGAGCUCAACUCCAGAACUGCCUUUGAUACUGAAGAUCUUGAGUUCGGAAGAGGUGAGUGGAACUGCGAGUGUAGAGGUGAAAUUCGUAGAUAUUCGCAAGAACACCAGUGGCGAAGGCGGCUCUCUGGCCCGAUACUGACGCUGAGGCACGAAAGCGUGGGGAGCAAACAGGAUUAGAUACCCGGGUAGUCCCUGUCUCUUAUAC